UCUUCUUGUAAUUUGAAAAUACUGCUACAAAGUUCGGUUUUCAUUAUUUAUUUAUUUAUUAUUGUCAUUAUUGAGUUCAAGCAUGUGUUGUUGAUGAAUUUCACUUAUCUUUCUCCAUUUUUCUAGUUUUGUUUUUUAAUCUAACAUUGUGGUAUGAAUUACUUUUGAAAAAUUUGGUCAGAUUUGUUAAGUUGAUCCCAGUCCUCCUAAGGAAGAUGGCUUAGAAGAAUGCCCUUGUUCAGAAAUUUCCUAGUGUUGAAAUUCUUGGCUGCACAACCGUGAUUUAUUCUCAGCUUCAUUCUUCAUCUCAAUUGAUGAAAUGUCCCUAUUGUACCUUAUGGUGGAGCCACAUCACUCGCGGGUCAUACAUUAUCACCUCAUGCAGGUGUUUGCAUUGACAUGAAUUUGAUGAAAUAUGAGCUUGUUUCUUGUUAUAAAUCACACCACAUGAUUUUAAGGCCCCUUUUAUUAGUAAAAUUUAGUUUAUUGACAUUCAUUAAUAACUUGAUUUUGUUUUAGCUAUCAACCAUACAUUUUGGUGCUUUCUAAUGCAUUUUAAUCUCGACAUAGGGUUCACAUAUGUUUGUUUUAUAAUGGAGGUUAUUUUGAAUACUUUUCUUAGGUUUAUUUUGGCCCUUCGGUGAUAUAAUGUGUAGUUCAUGUCACUUAUGUUUCACUAGGUGCAGGGACCCCAUUUGUAGAUUUUGGGUCAAUCAAUAAGGCCUACUUGUUUCGUGUUAAUGGUGAAGCUUGUGCAGGCUCACCUUAUUGCUUUACUUCGGGUCUGUGCGGUCGUCUCUGAUUGAAUGCCUUGGAGUGGAGACUUUCUGCUAGUUUCCUUUCUUGGAGUGGGUCCUAUCCAAGUAAAGAUAUGCUAAUGGGGAAAGGGAACGUCUGGGUGCAGUUGAGUACAAGUUGUUUGUCGGCGCAUUGAACAAACAAGCUACAGAAAGGAAGUUGAGGAAAUUUUUUCACCUUAUGGUCGAGUUGAAGAGGUCUAUCUUAUGCGUGAUGAAAUGAAGCAGAGUCGUGGUUUGUCUUGUUGUUCUUUUGGAUGGUUUAAAUUUUUUGUAUAAUUUAGAACUUAAGGAUCUAAUAUUUGGAAUAUAUAGACAAUUGUUGAAUGUUUAUAAUUUAUGGAUAUAGUUUCUUUUUGAUGUUUCAAACAAUA